UUGGUUUCUGGGCUAGCUUACAGCUUAUAUUUAGUGUCAAAUUAGGCUUUCCUCAGGUUGGGGGGUGUGAGAGAUAACAUUGUCUCCCAAGUGAAGGAGCUGGAGAGAAACCUUUGAAGUAGAGAUCAAAUAACCAAUGUUUAUGGGGGAGGAGGUGAUAGAGGAAGAGAGACAUAGGUGGUCACAUCUUUGUAAACAGAUGGUCUAUGUUUAUGAGGGACCAAGUGACAAAGAAGAUAUACGAUGUUUUUAGUAUAUCUUGUACCAUGUAAAAAAAAGGUUUGAUGUGAUGCAUUCUGUGGAAACCUUUUCCAGUACUUCUGACCAUGACUAAUGUCUGUGGAAUGUGAUAAGGGGACAAAAAACCUAUUUAAAGCAAUGUAAUUCUGUUGUUCGGGGAAGAGGACUGGGGACAGUUGAGUGUCUACAUUGGUCACUUAGCUGGAAUCCUCGCUCCCUUCCAUCGGCCGAUGUUAAGUAAAGUUUUGAACUGGUCUACCAAACCGUUUGUGUGGUGUCUGUUUAUUAAGAAGCGAACCUGGUUUAGUAGUUAAGAUAAGUAACUUUUUCAUUGGCGUAGUUAUGCAGGCCUCGCUGGGACCACAUCAACGGCUGACUGUGCAAGAGGUUGCGGAGGUUGCCGGGAUUGGAAGGGAGAUAACUGAGCUCUAUCGGUCCCCUUGUAAGACCGACUCCCUAGAAACUCCCGGGAACGUCUGUGAUCCUUCAUCAGAGGUUGACUUGGUUCCCUGCCGAGGUUCUUAGCAACAGACAAAGGUAAGACCAGUUGGGGUUUAUGUGGGGUUUUUUUUUAAAGAAGGGAUUGUGUAUGUAUUUUUAAGACGGAAUUGUGUAUGUAUUUUUAAGAAAGGUCUUAUGUAUAUUGUUAAGAAGGACGUGAGUGGUUCCUCUUUCUGUCUAUCUCUCUUUGUUUUCUCUUUUUCUCUCUCUACUAAGGGCUCAUCGGCCUCGUUGAGACAUCCGUGAUUUGUCGGGUUGAGAUACGGGGGUUGAGGUGUGCGUCUGGCUUAUUGAGACAUCCGAAGCUUUGUCGGAUUGAGAAAUAAGUGGCGUUGUAUAUUAAAGAAUUAGGAAGUCUGCUAGGUUGAGAAACGGGGGUCCCGGUUCGCGGGUCUGCUUCGUUGAGACACCUGGGGCUUAUUUUAAGAGUUAAGACGUCUGCCAGGUUGAGAAACGGGGGUCUUGGUUAGCAAGUCGGCUUCGUUGAGACACUUGGGUCGUAUAUUAAAGAGUUAAAAAAGGUCAGCCAAAUUGAGAAACUGGGGUCUCGAGUAGCGAGUCGGCCUGGUUGAUAUAUUUGGAACAAUUCGGAAUUAAAAAGUCAGCCAAGUUGAGAAACUGGGGUCUCAUUUAGUGAGUCGGCCUGGUUGAUAUAUUUGGAUCGAUUCGGAAUUAAGAAGUCUGUUUUCUCUCUCUCUCUUUCUAUCUAUCUAUGGGGAAUGCUCUGGAAACCAGUCCUAUAUAUGUGAUAUUUGAAUCCUAAGUAUAAUAAGAAAUUUAGAAUGUUAAGUUACAAGUUGACCAAAUGGUUGGGGGAUGAAGCCUGGUCAGUAGGGGGCACAUGGAAUGUUGAGACAAUUAAAUAAGCAGAGGUGUUGAUAUGGGAAAGGAAGACAGGAACCCACUAGAAAGCCGAUUUAAAAUAGACUUUAAUUUACAGCAAUUGAACACUAAAUUCCUUCCAUUUGGCCUAUAAAUUGAUGUAAAUGAGAUUUAAAAAUCAUGUUUUAUUGUGAAUUAUUUGUGAAUAUAAUUUGGACACUUAGGCUAUUUAAAAAUGUUAAUCAUUUAUUAAGAAAUGGAUAGAUGUUUGGAUCUAGUAAUUGAAGUUUGAAAUUAGCUACAAUUGGGUAACUAACUAAUUAUAUGCUUUUAAUUUCAGGUCAUCCAAGUAAGAUUAUUUUAUAUUUGUGUCAGAAUGGUUCAAUCUAUGAUAACUGAAAAUUUCAUUCAGUUCUCUUAAUUUUUAAGAAGGUUAUGGGCUUUUGACGGUCCAUGAUCACAGUUUUUUGUUAUGUCCAUAGAAAAUCAAUAGGGAACAAGAUGCUAAUUUCCGAGUAUGAAAAUGGCCAUAAUUUUUUUAUUACUUGAGAUAUGAAAGUGAAUUAGGUGUCAAAUUAAACUUAUUGUUAUGCUUUAUCUGAUGGGAUAAAUUGCAGAUUUGAUUUUUUUUUUAAAUCUCACAGUUUUGUAACAUUGCUAGAUAGAGUUAAGAAACAAGGAUAGCACUAGGAAAGGAUGGAAAUUAUUGCAACUAGAAUGCCAGUGGGCAGAGGAACAAGAGAAUAGAAUUAAAAGACAGACAGGAGGUGAGAAACAGGUGAUGGUUCGUAAAAAAUAAACCCAGUACUGGUAAAUCCUCUGGAGGAGACUUCAUGUCUGGCACGACGACCCUAUUUGGUAAUGAAGAUGAGGAGGAGUUAGAUCAUCUUGGGAGAUGUCUACCAGUAGCAAUGGCAUCUUUACCUGGGACAGUUCCAUCAGUAACAUCCCUAUAACUUGAAGUUCUGACCUUACAAAGCUCUCCAGGAUUGGGAGCACGGGAAUGCCUUUCUGUGUGUAAUUUGUUUAAGGCAUUGAUGCUACCAGAACAGCUGGUCAUUAUUAAAUGUACUGCACACACUGGUGCUGGGGACCCUAUAGCAAAAGGCAAUGGGUUGCUGAUAGUGUAUCCAAGCAAGCAGCCUGUACAUCCAAAUGCGUGGUGACAUCUGGUAAACAGAUACUAGCAAAUAGAACGGUCCUGCCAAACAUGAGGGAGGUAUGUACAUUAUAGAGGGACGCCUCUUGUAUAUAAUAAUAACUAUGGAAACAAGUGGGCUGUGCCAUUGAUUCAGCACACCCCGCUUGGACAAGUUGGUGUAUAACGAUACAUUUUUACCCGUCUUACCCAUGCUGGUAAGGAGGGAAUGAUAGGAUAACAAAGGAAAUGUGGUGGCACUGCAUAUUAGGAAUGGCAACUUUAUUCAUUUGCAUGGGGUUGCCGACCUGUGUAAAAAGUUACAUGCUUGAGUUGUUUUACUGUUCAUGUUUUAAACUAUCUGUUAUGUUUAAACUAUUUAAAUAGUUGUUAUUUGAAUAUAUUUGAUUCCUUUUUAAUGCCUUUGGCAACAAAAAAAAAAGCCUUCAAAAUGUCAUUGAGGGUGAGUCUGUAGAACACUCUGCCUGGCAAUUCCUGCAGUAGGUAGGUUGUUCAACCUUGUGAGAGACUACUCAGUCUGUCCUGGGGUUCUGGUAAAAGUAAGUCUGGAUGGAUAACGUCUCUCGGUAGUGAGUCUCAGUUGUAGGCAAGGUCCAAGAUGAACAAAUUUGGUUAUCUCUAUGUCGAAGGUAACAGAUUAAGAAUGAUGAGAAUGACUUGGAUUGGAAUUGCUCCUACUUUAGCAACACGUUGUAUUUGUUAAACUAUUAAAUAGAGGAUUGAUUUUGGUGAUACCAGUACUAUAUUCAAGAACAAGUGGUUGGGAGAUGUUUACACGAUAUGUAUUGGGAAUAUGACAACAUGUUUGAAGGGACUAACUGAGAAGUAUUACAUAUAAGCAAAAUAAGUAAAAAAGAUGAGAAGGAAGGGAUAUUGAAUGAUUUUGUGUUUAAAAAAAAAAAAAAAAAAAAAAAUUUAAAAUCAGGAGAAAAUGCAGAUUUAGUUCUGUGGGCAAGGUGAGC